GAGUUUGAUCAUGGCUCAGAACGAACGCUGGCGGCAUGCCUAACACAUGCAAGUCGAACGAACUCUUCGGAGUUAGUGGCGCACGGGUGCGUAACGCGUGGGAAUCUGCCCUUGGGUACGGAAUAACUCAGAGAAAUUUGUGCUAAUACCGUAUAAUGACUUCGGUCCAAAGAUUUAUCGCCCAAGGAUGAGCCCGCGUAAGAUUAGCUAGUUGGUGGGUAAAGGCCUACCAAGGCUACGAUCUUUAGCUGGUCUGAGAGGAUGAUCAGCCACACUGGGACUGAGACACGGCCCAGACUCCUACGGGAGGCAGCAGUGGGGAAUAUUGGACAAUGGGCGAAAGACUGAUCCAGCAAUGCCGCGUGAGUGAUGAAGGCCUUAGGGUUGUAAAGCUCUUUACCCGGGUAUGAUAAUGACAGUACCGGGAGAAUAAGACUCCGGCUAACUCCGUGCCAGCCGCCGCGGUAAC
rnacentral:rRNA from 1 species